AAAACUGUUAGGGCCUCAACUAAACCCUUCUCCUUCUUUCAACUGCCGCCCUUCAAAGCUUGUCUACCGGCGGCGCGGCGUACCGGUAAUUGAUCUGCAGUGAUGGCGGGGACGAAGAGAAAAAGCAGAGAAGCAAAUAGGCAAAACAAAGGAAGAGAAUUUAAGAAGAAAAAUCAAAGUUCAAGUGGAGGAAAAGAUGGUAGAAGAAAAAGGUCCGGUCCUCGUUUGCCUAAUGCUAUGUUAAAGGAGCUUCAAUUACCGAAACGAUACGCAGAUUCCGAUGAAGAAAUUGGCUCUGAUGAUGCUCUUAAUGACUUGUAUGAGUAUGAAGAAGGGGUAGCUGAAGAGGAGUCAAGGAAGAAUAGACGCUUUGACCCUGUUGAAAAUUAUCAAUAUGAGCUUCCUGAGGAGUUUGAGGAUGAAGAUGUACCUUCGGAUGAAGAAGAUGGUGG
rnacentral:misc_RNA from 1 species